GCGCUGCCACCAUCUCUGGAGGAGCUCAAGAUUAACAACAACAAGCUCAGUGCACUCACCCCUCACUGUUUCAAAGGUUUGAUCAACCUGUUGAUUCUGGAGCUGGAGGAAAAUACUCUCCAUGAGGGCAGUGUGUCGCCACUAACCUUCAGACCACUAAAGAGACUUCUGGACCUCCAGCUGGACAACAACCGCUUUCGUUCCCUCCCCAUGGGCCUUCCUCCCUCUCUUCAGGAGCUGGAGAUGAAUGAAAAUCUGAUUGAGGAGGUGACAGAGGAGACCCUGAAGGGCUGUGUACAUUUAAAAGUGCUGGACCUGAGUCACAACCUUCUGCAUGAGCAAGGCAUCGCAACCCACGCCUGGUCCCGUCUCAAGACCCUGGAGGCCUUGGACCUUUCUUACAACCGGUUCACCUCGGUCCCAAUGGAUCUUCCACGGCGUCUUCAGAAACUGACCCUCC
rnacentral:lncRNA from 1 species